rnacentral:rRNA from 1 species
AACGAACGCUGGCGGCAUGCCUAACACAUGCAAGUCGAACGAGACCUUCGGGCCUAGUGGCGCACGGGUGCGUAACGCGUGGGAACCUGCCCUUAGGUUCGGAAUAACUCCCCGAAAGGGGUGCUAAUACCGGCUAAUGUCUUCGGACCAAAGAUUUAUCGCCUUUGGAUGGGCCCGCGUUGGAUUAGCUAGUUGGUAGGGUAAAAGCCUACCAAGGCGACGAUCCAUAGCUGGUCUGAGAGGAUGAGCAGCCACACUGGGACUGAGACACGGCCCAGACUCCUACGGGAGGCAGCAGUGGGGAAUAUUGGACAAUGGGCGAAAGCCUGAUCCAGCAAUGCCGCGUGAGUGAUGAAGGCCUUAGGGUUGUAAAGCUCUUUUACCCGGGAUGAUAAUGACAGUACCGGGAGAAUAAGCUCCGGCUAACUCCGUG